rnacentral:rRNA from 1 species
AGCGAACGCUGGCGGCAGGCUUAACACAUGCAAGUCGAGCGGGCAUCCUUGUGGUGUCAGCGGCAGACGGGUGAGUAACGCGUGGGAACGUGCCCUUCGGUUCGGAAUAACUCAGGGAAACUUUAGCUAAUACCGGAUACGUGCGAGAGCAGAAAGGUUUAUCUGCCGAAGGAUCGGCCCGCGUCUGAUUAGCUAGUUGGUGAGGUUACGGCUCACCAAGGCGACGAUCAGUAGCUGGUCUGAGAGGAUGAUCAGCCACACUGGGACUGAGACACGGCCCAGACUCCUACGGGAGGCAGCAGUGGGGAAUAUUGGACAAUGGGGGCAACCCUGAUCCAGCCAUGCCACGUGAGUGAUGACGGCCUUAGGGUUGUAAAGCUCUUUUCUCCGGGACGAUAAUGACGGUACCGGAGGAAUAAGCCCCGGCUAACUUCGUG